AUUGAACGCUGGCGGCAGGCCUAACACAUGCAAGUCGAGCGGAUGAAGGGAGCUUGCUCCUGGAUUCAGCGGCGGACGGGUGAGUAAUGCCUAGGAAUCUGCCUUGUAGUGGGGGAUAACGUCCGGAAACGGGCGCUAAUACCGCAUACGUCCUGAGGGAGAAGGUGGGGGAUCUUCGGACCUCACGCUAUCAGAUGAGCCUAGGUCGGAUUAGCUAGUUGGUGGGGUAAAGGCCUACCAAGGCGACGAUCCGUAACUGGUCUGAGAGGAUGAUCAGUCACACUGGAACUGAGACACGGUCCAGACUCCUACGGGAGGCAGCAGUGGGGAAUAUUGGACAAUGGGCGAAAGCCUGAUCCAGCCAUGCCGCGUGUGUGAAGAAGGUCUUCGGAUUGUAAAGCACUUUAAGUUGGGAGGAAGGGCAGUAAGUUAAUACCUUGCUGUUUUGACGUUACCAACAGAAUAAGCACCGGCUAACUUCGUG
rnacentral:rRNA from 1 species